rnacentral:lncRNA from 10 species
CUCCGCAUGGACUCACGGGUUCACCUCCUUCCGGUCUGAACAGUGAACGCCUCCGCAUCGACUCACGGGUUCACCUCCUUCCGGUCUGAACAGUGAACUCCUCCGCAUGGACUCACGGGUUCACCUCCUUCCGGUCUGAACAGUGAACUCCUCCGCAUCGACUCACGGGUUCACCUCCUUCCGGUCUGAACAGUGAACUCCUCCGCAUGGACUCACGGGUUCACCUCCUUCCGGUCUGAACAGUGAACUCCGCAUCGACUCACGCGUUCACCUCCUUCCGGUCUAAAUGGUAAACUCCUCUGCAUUUUCUGUUCGGUUCUAUUUUGGUGGGGCCCACGCGUCAUCACAGAGUAUCUGGGAGCCCUGCCCUCUUGCAGAUGGGAAUGAAGGCCCAGGUGCUCUGGAGAGGUGACUCUCCUCUAGGUGAGGGGUGUGUGUGUGAGAGGAGUGAGGUGCGGUGUGGGAGGGUCCUUGCAGGGUCCGGCUGCUUUCGGAGGCUGUUUUUCUCAGCUCCCCGUUUUGUCCCUCCAAAUUGUGCCCCUCUCCUUCCAAUUGUCACUCUCCUUUCCCCCAACCCUCCCUGUCUCCCAGUUGUCUCGCUUCUCAGAAAGGAAACACUGGUUCUGUAAACCUGUUUGAGAAGAAAAGCUCGAGGUUUCUUGGCCUCUCUGCUUCUGGAGCCAGGGGAAAAAAUAGCCCCAGGCUGAAGACAGGAGGGACCAGAUUGCUGCUUGGUGAUGCGAUCUCACUGCAGAGGCAGCCAGGAGACCCUCCUGAGACGAAUCGGAGAGUCCAUGCUGCUUUUACACACAUCCUAGUUCUUUUAUAACUAGCCUUUUCCUAUUAACGGACAUCAUUCAAAAGCCAGUUUUAAGC